GGAUAUCAAUAUUCAUAAAAGAAAAAUAAGGAUGAAAAAGUGACGGAAAUCGUCGUUUUCGCUCAAAUUGGAAAAUUGAGCGUUUUAGCCAAAAUUUGGCAAAAUCGAUUAGCGGAGUCUAAAUAGUGAGUUGGCGGAAGAGUAUUAUUUAUUUGGACAUAAAUAAUACGAAAUUUAUCGAGAUUUAACGAUUGAGUGAUUUUUGGACUAAAUUGAGCAAAAGAAAAGCUUAGGACUAAAUGUUGAGGAGGUGGCUUCAUUAAGGGUUGAAGUGCAUUUUUGCCAUAAAUAUAUAUAGUCAAUUAAAUGAUUAAGAUCAGAAUAUACACCCCAAUUCUCAGCUCAAACCCUCACCAUCUUCAUCUUCUCAACUCCAUAUGAAAACCAAACUUCAAUUCACCAUAACUUAUUCGUUUUAGCUCGGUUUUGGUCGAUUCUUGCGGCAACGGAAAGAGGAGAACCAUACCUACUGAUUGAGCCCAAUAAAUCAAGACAAACCGAGAGGCGACGGGAUCGACGGUUUUGGCCUAGGAGUAUUCGGCCAAGACUAAUGCAUGUAAAUGAUUUGGAUUGGAAAGCAAGGAGUACCUAGACUUGGAGUGACUAGAAGUCCAUCAUUUUUCCGGGAGUCUGUCUUGCCAUGUACAGACCGGCUUCCGUGACCGCUGCAGUAGUACAUUGUGUGACCAGUCAUGACCUAGGACAAUAUUAUAGUUUUGAAAAAUGUUUAUAACGAUGUUAGAUUUACGUAACCAGUGUUUACAAAAUAACUAUUAAUGUUUUCAUAAUUAAAUGCUUCCGUGUUAUAACAAUUUUUGUGCGAAAAAUUUAUAGUGAAUUUCAGGCUUGCUACGGGAUUCGGAACUACAAUUCCCAUUCCCUAGCGCCGGUCGCGGCCCUCGACUUUGGGUCGUGACAAAGUUGGUAUCAGAGCAGUUGGUCCAGUUACCACUGCCAGUCUAUGAAAAGUGUCUGUUUGACCUUAAGUACCUAGGAACUACUGCAGCGUAUAGAGUCGAGCCUUAUUGACUAUAUGUGUUUGAUUGAAAUGUUUGUUUCGUUUUACUUUAAUAUGCGAUUGAUUUGAUUCACGUGUUCACGUGAAUAGUAUAAGUUGUGUGUUGCAUAUUUCAUAUGGUUAAUUGCUUUGUUUUGCUAUAUGAUUGAUCGUAA